AAAGGGAUAGUCCUGAAUCAAUUUGUUAUAGCUUCAAGACAUUUAGAGUGAAGAAUUAAGGAUUUAUCCUUCAUCAGGGUGCAGGAGCAACUAAGGUUAUUGAGAAAAUGUGGAGAUUGAAGAUAGCAGAUGGAGGGAAGAGUCCUUACAUAUUCAGCACAAACAACUUUUUAGGAAGGCAAAUAUGGGAGUAUGAUUCUGAAGCAGGAACUGAUGAAGAACGAGCACAGGUUGAAGCAGCUCGUCAACAUUUCUAUCAAAAUCGCUUUGAGCAAAAGGCAUGUGCCGAUCGACUUUGGCGAUUUCAGAUUUUGAGGGAAAAAGAAUUCAAACAAACAAUAAGCAAAGUGAAGAUAGAAGAUGAUGAGGAAAUUACAUGGGAGAAGGCUACUCUGACCAUAAAGAGGGCUUCUCAUUACCUUUCUGCACUGCAAACUAGUGAUGGUCAUUGGCCUGCUCAACUCGGGGGUUCUAACUUCUUUGUUCCUGUAAUGAUCAUCUCCAUCUACAGUACAGGACAUCUUGAUACUGUAAUUUCAAAAGAACAUCGUAAAGAAAUUCUCCGUUACUUGUAUAAUCAUCAGAACGAAGAUGGAGGGUGGGGAUUACACAUAGAAGGUCCAAGCACCAUGUAUUGUACCGCUCUCAAUUACGUAACUAUGAGAAUUCUUGGAGAAGGACCCAACGGAGGUCAUAACAACGCUUGCGCUAAAGCCAGACAGUGGAUUCAUGAUCAUGGUACCAUAACACUUAUGCCUUCGUGGGGGAAAUUUUGGCUUUCGGUACUUGGUAUUGUUGAUUGGAGUGGAUGCAAUCCAAUGCCUCCUGAAUUUUGGAUACUUCCUACUUUUCUCCCCAUGCAUCCUGCUAAAAUGUGGUAUUAUUGUCGACAUGUUUACAUGCCCAUGUCAUAUAUAUAUGGGAAAAGAUUCGUGUGUCCAGUCACUCCAUUAAUCACGGAUUUGAGAGAAGAACUCUUUACUGAACCUUACGAUGAAAAUACUUGGAAAAAAGCUCGACACAAAUGUGCAAAGGAAGAUCUGUAUUAUCCGCAUCACUGGAUACAAGAUUUAAUAUGGGACAGUGCUUAUUUUUUGACUGAGCCACUUCUCAGUCGCUGGCCUUUCAAUAAGAUCAGAGAAAAGGCACUUGAUGUGGCAAUUAAAGGUAUUCACUACGAAGAUGAAAAUACUCGAUACAUACAUGGUGGCUGUAUCAACAAGUCUUGCUCUUUGCUUGCUUCUUGGGUACACGAUCCAAAUGGAGAUUCCUUUAAGAAGCAUCUUGCAAGAGUCCCAGAUUAUUUGUGGCUUUCAGAAGAUGGAAUGUGUGUACAGGGACUUAACACGCAAACAUGGGAUGCUGGUUUCGCCGUUCAAGCUUUUCUCGCUACGGGUCUAAUUGAUGAACUUGGUCCAACUCUUGAAAAAGCACAUGAUUUUAUCAAGAAAUCUCAGGUAGUAGAAAAUCGUCCAGGAGAUUUUAAGAGUAGCUUUCAUCACUUUUCUAAAGGAGCAUGGACCCUUGCUGACAGAGACCACGGAUUACAACUUUCUGAUGGCACUGCAGAAUGUCUCAAGUGUUGUUUACUUUUAUCGAUGUUGCCAGAAGAGAUUGUUGGAGAAAAAUUGGAACCUGAACGGUUAUAUGACACUGUCAAUUUUCUGUUGUCCCUUCAGAGCAAAAAUGGAGGUUUGACAGUGUGGGAACCAGCGUUAGGUCAAAAGUGGUUGGAAAAUUUGAAUCCGGCGGAAUUUCUUGCUGACAUAGUGGUUGAGCACGAGUAUAUUGAGUGUACUGGAUCAACAAUUCAAGCUUUAGUAUUGUUCAAAAAACUAUAUCCAAAUCAUAGAAGGGAAGAGAUAGAGAGGUUGAUUGUGAAAGCGGCUAAGUACAUUGAAGAUGAACAAUCACCAAAUGGAACUUGGAUUGGGAUCUGGGGAGUUUGUUUCACAUACUGUUCCUGUUUCGCACUUGGAGGUUUAGCUGCUGCCGGAAAGACUUACACUAACUGCGCCGCCAUUCGUAAAGCUGUCAAAUUUCUACUCUCAAAACAGAACGAGGAUGGUGGUUGGGGAGAAAGUUAUCUCUCAUGUCAUAUGAAGACGUACGCACCUCUUGAAGGGAAUCGAUCAAAUGUAUGUCAAACAGCUUGGGUUCUAAUGGCUUUAAUUCAUGCCGGACAGGCUGAGAGAGAUCCAACACCUCUUCAUCGUGCUGCAAAGUUACUCAUUAAUUCUCAAUUAGAAGAUGGCGAUUGGCCCCCACAAGAGGCCGUGGGGGCGUACAAGGGUAGUUGCUUGCUUCAUUACUCAUUGUAUAGAAAUUAUUUUUCAUUAUGGGCUUUGAGUGACUACCGUAACAAAGUUUUAGUGCCUUCGACUACUCCUAAACUUGAGAAGUCGUAAGAUGAGAAAGACAAUGCCAUACCAUACAAAUAUCCUACAAAUAAAAUCAAAAUGAAUCUUAUGGAGUCUUUGAUAUGAUUAUCUCAGAUGGUGGAAAUCUAGUUUUACAAGAAAUGGAUGGCAAUGUUGUGAGGAUGAAGCUCUGGGGUGUAUGCAACAUUCCUCUCUACAACAAUAUAUGAUUUGGAGAAU